UACAGGGGGGGCAAGCGUUGUUCGGAAUUACUGGGCGUAAAGGGCGCGUAGGCGGCCUGCUAAGUCGAACGUGAAAUCCCUGGGCUCAACCCAGGAACUGCGUCCGAUACUGGUUGGCUUGAAUCCGGGAGAGGGAUGUGGAAUUCCAGGUGUAGCGGUGAAAUGCGUAGAUAUCUGGAGGAACACCGGUGGCGAAGGCGACAUCCUGGACCGGUAUUGACGCUGAGGCGCGAAAGCCAGGGGAGCAAACGGG
rnacentral:rRNA from 1 species